UACAGAGGUCUCGAGCGUUAGGCGGAAUCACUGGGCUUAAAGCGUGUGUAGGUGGAUCGUUAAGUACCUUGUGAAAUCCCACGGCUUAACCGUGGAACUGCUUGGUAUACUGGCGGUCUUGAGCCAGCUAGGGGCUACCGGAACAAAUGGUGGAGCGGUGAAAUGCGUAGAUAUCUGGAGGAAUACCGGUGGCGAAGGCGGCAUCCUGGACCAUUACUGACGCUGAGGCGCGAAAGCUAGGGGAGCAAACGGG
rnacentral:rRNA from 1 species